CGCAUCAGUCCGGCCGAUUCUC
rnacentral:siRNA from 1 species